AUACGGAGGAUGCGAGCGUUAUCCGGAUUUAUUGGGUUUAAAGGGAGCGUAGGUGGGAUAUUAAGUCAGCUGUGAAAGUUUGGGGCUCAACCUUAAAAUUGCAGUUGAUACUGGUUUCCUUGAGUACGGUAUAGGUGGGCGGAAUUCGUGGUGUAGCGGUGAAAUGCUUAGAUAUCACGAAGAACUCCGAUCGCGAAGGCAGCUCACCGGGCCGGAACUGACACUGAUGCUCGAAAGUGCGGGUAUCAAACAGGAGUAGAUACCCUGGUAGUCCGCACAGUAAACGAUGAAUACUCGAUGUUUGCGAUACACUGUAAGCGGCCAAGCGAAAGCGUUAAGUAUUCCACCUGGGGAGUACGCCUGCAACGGUGAAACUCAAAGGAAUUGACGGGG
rnacentral:rRNA from 1 species